AUUAAUAGGUUUGAUACGUGAAAACAAAGAUUCAAGAGAAGUCAGACCAAGCACUUUAACAUCUUCGUGAUUUGCAUCACUAGAACGCACCCUUUUAAACCAUUCAUGCCUAGCGCGAAUUUGGGCGGUUCUUUCUUUGCUCUAAUUCAUGGAGACACGCAUAGCUUUUAAAGUUUCAUCCAAGUUGACCUUGGGAGGAGCACAUCUAACUAUCAAAGCAUGAAUAUCACAAGACAUCCUAUCAA
rnacentral:lncRNA from 1 species